AUGCAGAGUAUGGCAUCGGGAACAAGAUCUCAACAGCAGAUCUCAACAGCAGGCGAUGUCUAUAGCUAUGGAAUUAUCAUCCUAGAAAUGCUCACGGGGAAACGCCCAACAGAUGUGUUGUUCAAGAAUGGCCUGACCCUUCAGAAAUUUGUGGGGAAUUCAUUCCCCGAAAAGAUCCGUGAUAUACUUGAUCCUAACAUCAUAAUCCCGAGCUCUGGAGACGAAGGCGUGGACCAUGGAAACCACAAUGGUGGGGAUGCUGAGCUGCAUUAUGCAGCUUGUUCAGCUUGGUCUCUCAUGCUCCACAGAGACACCAAAAGAUCGACCGACAAUGCCAGACGUCUACACAGAGUCUCUGCAACCAAACGAGAAUCAAGGAAUAGGAGACACUGUUUUUGUUCGCCUGUAUGUUACGAGUGA
rnacentral:rRNA from 1 species